UCUCAUCUGAUAUCGAUCCAUUAUAUUCGUCCUUUAUUUUACACAGUUCAAAAGUUGACAGUGGUGGUGAAUGGGUUGAAGUAGUCAGAGAGGCUCAUCGUCUUGUCUCUCAUUGUUGUUUUCAUGUGGUUGGAUUAGAUUGAGGCGUAAUAUAAUGCCGUGACGUCACCAGCCUCAGCAAGCCUCUUCUUGCUCUUGAAUACUUCGUUGACAAUUGCCGUGAUCGGACAGCCAGUUUCUUGCUCCUCGGACAUGUUUAGCAUCAUCCUUAGAUCCUUCUGAAGAUAGACGAUUGGCACCUCAACUUCUUGGCGCCUCUUGAGAACUUUUUGGAGUACUUGCUCAGCUAGGGGGCUAUUCAUUGUUGACAGUUUGAUAAUGUCAGCAAAGUCCGAGCCCUUGAGGCUGAGUCGCUCCAACAUUCUUAUGCACUCGACUAAACUACCAACAAUAGUUCCGAAGAACGAGCUCGCAAUCAGGUUCAUCUUCGGAGCAGAGUCACAGCUUGGACCUAGAUA
rnacentral:lncRNA from 1 species